GGCGCACUGGAGGUCUCGAGCACCGAGCCUGCCCAACCCUACCUGGCUGAAUGAGAGAGAGAGUGCCUGCCAAGUCCAUAUUAUUGCCCAAGACUAGAGUUCCUGCUUUCAUCCGUCCUGCCUCCACUAGUUCAGGUAUGAGUUAUUAGGCUUUAUAGAAUGGAAUUGCAUAGUUUGCAUCUGGAUAAGCUCCUUUAUUGUAAGUUAGUACGUUUAUUAGAUACUAUUGUAAUAUGUCCUAUUCAUAGUCUUUCUAUAUUUUUUUAACAAAAUCAACAAGUGUUUUUGGUCUUGUUGUGUAAGUGGUUGAUGCAGAAUAGACCAGUGGAAGUUGCCAAAGAGCCAUCUAACAGGCCUACUGUCACAUUUUCCCCGGGGACAUAUUUACUCCAAAGAGCAGAAACCCAUUGUGCUCUUAGUAGGCUACAGUGGGGAAAUGAAAAGCUAAAAGGAAUCCAAAGAGCAGAAACCCAUUGUGCUCUUAGUAGGCUACAGUGGGGAAAUGAAAAGCUAAAAGGAAUCCAAAGAGCAGAAACCCAUUGUGCUCUUAGUAGGCUACAGUGGGGAAAUGAAAAGCUAAAAGGAAUCCAAAGAGCAGAAACCCAUUGUGCUCUUAGUAGGCUACAGUGGGGAAAUGAAAAGCUAAAAGGAAUCCAAAGAGCAGAAACCCAUUGUGCUCUUAGUAGGCUACAGUGGGGAAAUGAAAAGCUAAAAGGAAUCCAAAGAGCAGAAACCCAUUGUGCUCUUAGUAGGCUACAGUGGGGAAAUGAAAAGCUAAAAGGAAUCCAAAGAGCAGAAACCCAUUGUGCUCUUAGUAGGCUACAGUGGGGAAAUGAAAAGCUAAAAGGAAUCCAAAGAGCAGAAACCCAUUGUGCUCUUAGUAGGCUACAGUGGGGAAAUGAAAAGCUAAAAGGAAUCCAAAAAUAAUUUCAUUACAAAUAAAGUGCAACAAAACUCUCACCAAAUGUUGCUUAUCAAUGUUUGCAUGUGUGUGUUUGUGUGUUACGGGCUUGCGAUCACUGACUCGUUGUGAUGCGAUGACCGACUGGCCGAAGAAACUGACCUCUAAACAGAACAUGGUAACGAGGGAGAAGGGGACAGAUGGUGAGUCACACACACACACACACACACACACGUCUCCUGUCCUCAGCAUCAAUGACCAUGGACUGACAAUUCAUAACCAUCGGUUGGUUCAUUGAGUAGGUUUGUAUGGACUUUGUUUAUAGUCUUGCAGUGUGGAAGAUGGGAGCAGUUGGUUAAAGAAUGACAUACAGAAUGGGCUGCAUCUCAGUAGGCUACAGUGGCUCCCUCUCCUCACCUUCAUUUGCACUGAUCUGAAAACAUAGGCUAGGUUAAAGCAAUAUGGUGGAAGCCUCAAAAGACAACAUAUAGUGUGCCUACCCUGUAUGUGUCCUCAGCCUUUCAGCGGUCUCUAUCAGAACCAUAGUGAAGUGGGGAUGUACCAGCGUGUGUCCUGCGACCCUCCCCUCUUCAGACCUCCCGCUCUCUCCUCUAGUUCAGAGGUGAAGUGUGACUCGGUCAUGGGCUGGCCGGCAUUCAAAGAGGAACACGACUAGAGCCACAUAUACAUCAUCCGUCACCCUGACAACACCCUGGGUAGUGUAGAGACAGAGGUCGUCUAUAAACAUUGUGUGUGCAUCGUUACAGUGUGACGCCCAUCUGGGUCAUGUGUUUGAGGAUGGACCGGACCCCACAGGAGAGAGGUUCUGCAUCAACAGCUUCUCUCUCAACUUCAGGCCCAGAGAACCCGGACCCGGUGACCAGUAGAACCCCCUAGAACCAUCUUAAAUCACCUAAGCCUGACCAGAACCAACCUUCAAACCCAGAGAACACAAACCCGAGGACCAGUAGAACGCAACAGGCCCAAUAUCUGGAUCCCUAACCAGAGAUCUCAGCAUCAGGAAUACUGUUUUAUAUGUCUGUAUCUUUCUGUAACUGAUCAUAGAUGAGCUUGUGACCUAUAUUUACCUGGCUGUGUGGUCUUCCCAACCAUAGCCACAACUACUGUACAUUAUAUAGUGCCUUCGGAAAGUAUUCAGACCCCUUGACUUUUCCCACAUUUUGUUACAUUACAGCCUUAUUCUAAAAUGUAUUCAAUAGAUUUUUUCCCU